UGUCCCCUCGCUCGCUCUCAGCCGGCAGCCGGCCCCGGCUGCUGGAAAGGCAGGGGAGCACGGAGAGGAAAAUCCAGCCUUGAGUUGUCAGCUCACAGCCGGAGUCCUUCAUCUUCAUCCUGCAGCCUCAUCUUCCUCAUCCUGCGGCCUCAUCUUCCUCAUCCUGCAGCCUCAUCUUCCUCCUCCUGCAGCCUCUUCCUCAUCCUGCAGCCUCAUCUUCCUCAUCCUGCAGCCUCAUCUUCCUCCUGCAGCCUCUUCCUCAUCCUGCAGCCUCAUCUUCCUCAUCCUGCAGCCUCAUCUUCCUCCUGCAGCCUCAUCUUCCUCCUGCAGCCUCAUCUUCCUCCUCCUGCGGCCUCAUCUUCCUCCUCCUGCAGCCUCUUCCUCAUCCUGCAGCCUCAUCUUCCUCAUCCUGCGGCCUCAUCUUCCUCCUGCAGCCUCUUCCUCCUCCUGCAGCCUCUUCCUCCUCCUGCAGCUUCAUCUUCCUCCUCCUGCAGCUUCAUCUUCCUCCUCCUGCAGCCUCAUCUUCCUCCUCCUGCGGCCUCAUCUUCCUCCUGCAGCCUCAUCUUCCUCCUGCAGCUUCAUCUUCCUCCUCCUGCAGCUUCAUCUUCCUCCUCCUGCAGCUUCAUCCUCAUCCUGCAGCCUCUUCCUCAUCCUCCUGCAGCUUCAUCUUCCUCAUCCUGCAGCCUCAUCUUCCUCCUCCUGCAGCCUCUUCCUCAUCCUCCUGCAGCCUCAUCUUCCUCCUGCAUCCCCAUCCCCAUCCCAUCCCUGCCCGCAGCCCAGCGCAGCCCCCGGCUCCCCAGGAUGUCACCGCAGCCCCCUGGGAGGGGGAGCAGGAGGAGAAGGGGAAGCAGGAGAAGGGUUUGGGGUCCAAAAUCCCUUCACCCUCACCAACCCGGGCUGGACUCGGGGAUUUCCCCCCAGGAGCAGCAGCAGGAGCCCCAGGGAGGGACAGGGGAGCUGAGCCCCAGGGAGGGACAGGGGAGCUGAGCCCCAGGGAGGGACAGGGGAGCUGCUCCUCCCUGCUGUGCCCACCCCAGGCAGCUCCCCCUGCGCGUCCCCGAGCCCGGGGCUCACCCUGAACCAUCCACCCUGGGGCAAGUGGGAUCUGUCCCACUCCUGGAUCCAAACCCAAUUCCCAAUUCCAGCUGCUGCCCUCUGCUCUCAGGGGCACGGAUCACAGCAAGAAUUCAAUCCAACAGGGAUUGAAACCUGCUGGGGGAACCAGGGUGAGACAGAACCAGCCCAGGAUUUGCUGCCCUGGCCUUGGGGCAUGGAUCACAGCAAGAAUUCAAUCCAACAGGGAUUGAAACCUGCUGGGGGAACCAGGGUGAGACAGAACCAGCCCAGGAUUUGCUGCCCUGGCCUUGGGGAAUCUCCACUGAGAGCCCCCCAGGAGUUGGAGACACAAACUCUGCUCUCCUCCCCUCCUGUCCCUGCAGUCAGCUGGAGAUGGAGCAGCUUUUCCCUCCCUCUGCUUUUCCAGCUCUGGCAUUUGGCAUCAGCACCAGUUGAUUUGUUGUUGUUUUGUUUCCCUUUAGGGGGGGUUUUUAACCCCCUGCCUGCCACGCAGCUUUGGCCGCACAGAAAACCGGGGAAUUGGGAAGUUUUGUGCCCAAAGCGUGCGCAGGCAGGAGUGGGAACCCCAACACCUCCCUGCCUGGAGAGGAAACACUGAAAAAUGAGCGAAAAUCACUUUUUUUUUUCACAGGCAAACCAAGCUCCUCUAGCACACAACCAACUCUUCCCACCGGGCCUCGCGUCCAGCCGACAGCAAGGCCGCAAACUACUGAAAGUUCCCCGAAGGAAGCAGGAACAAAGGCAUGCUUGGGCACGGGAAAAGCGGGAUAAAACAGU
ensembl:lncRNA